AACGCGAAGAACCUUACCUGGGCUUGAACUACUCGUGGUAAGCCGGUGGAAACAUCGGCUGACCCGCAAGGGAGCGAGCAGAGGUGCUGCAUGGUUGUCGUCAGCUCGUGUCGUGAGAUGUUGGGUUAAGUCCCGCAACGAGCGCAACCCCUAUCUCAUGUUGCAACCCUCGCAAGAGGGGCACUCUUGAGAAACUGCCUUCGAUAAGAAGGAGGAAGGUGGGGAUGACGUCAAAUCCUCAUGGCCCUUAUGUCCAGGGCUACACACGUGCUACAAUGGCCGGUACAACGGGAAGCAAUACCGUAAGGUGGAGCCAAACCCUGAAAGCCGGCCCCAGUUCAGAUUGUGGGCUGCAACUCGCCCACAUGAAGGCGGAAUCGCUAGUAAUCGCGAAUCAGCAGGUCGCGGUGAAUACGUUCCCGGGCCUUGUACACACCGACGCAC
rnacentral:rRNA from 1 species